CAAUUAAACUAUUCAGGGCUCUAAAGUCCUGAACUAAGCGAUAUGCUGGCCAGUGGUGUUGGGAGUGGGUCUGGUGUUGUUCUUGCCUACCGGGCAUAUUUUGAGAAUUGUGGGGUUGUUGGGGUGUGUGGGGUUUCCUGGGGUGUGGACACUCAUUCCUCCAGUGGCCAUAUUGGCCACAGUUGAAACAAGUGUUCCUGUCUAUUCCUCCUUGGUUACCCCUGCCCCUAUAACCCUGAUUUCCCUGUCUCCAUCCCCUUGCCCCUCUUUGACCACCCCUUCCACGGGCUUUAUGUGCUCCAUCCCAUCCUCGCUCUCAGCCUGUGUAGGUGGACAGUGUUGCAAUCCCUGAGCAUAAUAAGCAACCUUACUUUCCUAAAUCUUUUCUUAAGUCAAAACAACCUGCAUUUUCCUUUUCUAUAACCUUGGUAAGAAAAUCUGAG